rnacentral:rRNA from 1 species
GCUUAACGCGAAGAACCUUACCAGGUCUUGACAUCCUCUGACAACCCUAGAGAUGGGGCUUCUCCUUCGGGAGCAGAGUGACAGGUGGUGCAUGGUUGUCGUCAGCUCGUGUCGUGAGAUGUUGGGUUAAGUCCCGCAACGAGCGCAACCCUUGAUCUUAGUUGCCAUCAUUUAGUUGGGCACUCUAAGGUGACUGCCGGUGACAAACCGGAGGAAGGUGGGGAUGACGUCAAAUCAUCAUGCCCCUUAUGACCUGGGCUACACACGUGCUACAAUGGGCGGUACAAAGAGCUGCAAGACCGCGAGGUGGAGCUAAUCUCAUAAAACCGUUCUCAGUUCGGAUUGUAGGCUGCAACUCGCCUACAUGAAGCUGGAAUCGCUAGUAAUCGCGGAUCAGCAUGCCGCGGUGAAUACGUUCCCGGGUCUUGUACACACCG